rnacentral:rRNA from 1 species
AACGAACGCUGGCGGCAUGCCUAACACAUGCAAGUCGGACGCGUGGUUUCGGCCACGAGUGGCGGACGGGUGAGUAACGCGUGGGAACCUGCCCAUCGGUACGGAACAACCGCGGGAAACUGCGGCUGAUACCGUAUAUACCCUGCGGGGGAAAGAUUUAUCGCCGAUGGAGGGGCCCGCGUCGGAUUAGGUAGUUGGUGGGGUAACGGCCUACCAAGCCUGCGAUCCGUAGCUGGUCUGAGAGGAUGAUCAGCCACACUGGGACUGAGACACGGCCCAGACUCCUACGGGAGGCAGCAGUGGGGAAUAUUGGACAAUGGGGGCAACCCUGAUCCAGCAAUGCCGCGUGAGUGAAGAAGGCCUUAGGGUUGUAAAGCUCUUUCGGCGGGGACGAUGAUGACGGUACCCGCAGAAGAAGCCCCGGCUAACUCCGUGCCAGCAGCCGCCGCGG